ACUGCUCAGUAACACGUGGACAACCUGCCCAAAGGUCCGGGAUAACCCCGGGAAACUGGGGAUAAUACCGGAUAAAUCACAGGUACUGGAAGGUCUUGUGGUUGAAACUUCCGGGGCCUUUGGAUGGGUCUGCGGCGGAUUAGGUUGUUGCCGGUGUAACGUACCGUCAAGCCUGUAAUCCGUACGGGUUGUGGGAGCAAGAGCCCGGAGAUGGAUUCUGAGACACGAAUCCAGGCCCUACGGGGCGCAGCAGGCGCGAAAACUCUACAAUGCAGGCAACUGCGAUAGGGGAACAUCGAGUGAUACUCAUAUUGGGUGUCUGUCCCACCGUCUAAAAAACGGUGGUUAGCAAGGGCCGGGCAAGACCGGUGCCAGCCGCCGCGGUAAUACCGGCGGCUCGAGUGGUGGCCGAUAUUAUUGAGUCUAAAGGGUCCGUAGCCGGCUUUGCAAGUCUUUUGGGAAAUCCAGCGGCUUAACCGUUGGUCGUCCGGGAGAUACUACAUUGCUUGGGACUGGGAGAGGUAGGAGGUACUCAGGGGGUAGGAGUGAAAUCCUGUAAUCCUUUGGGGACCACCGGUGGCGAAGGCGUCCUACCAGAACAGGUCCGACGGUGAGGGACGAAAGCUAGGGGCACGAACCGGAUUAGAUACCCGGGUAGUCCUAGCCGUAAACGAUGCUCGCUAGGUGUCACAACAAUCGUGAAUUGUUGUGGUGCCGUAGGGAAGCCGUGAAGCGAGCCACCUGGGAAGUACGACCGCAAGGUUGAAACUUAAAGGAAUUGGCGGGGGAGCAC
rnacentral:rRNA from 1 species